rnacentral:lncRNA from 1 species
UAUAAGUUUACUUAUAUUACUACUUUUUUUGUUGAAUAGAGAAUAUAUAAUCCAUAAUUCUUAAGGAUGACUAGAAAAAACCACAUUUUUUUUACCCAAUUAAAAAUAUAUUUAAAUUUUUUUUGUAAAGAUUUUUAUUGACUUAAGACUAUUUAAGUGAGAUGAUAAAGAUAAUUUUUCUCUUAAUUAAAAGUUUUGAAUGAGAAUUUUAUCAUUUUUGUUAUUCUCUUUAAUUUAAGAAAUCAAUUUCUACAUAUGCA